rnacentral:rRNA from 1 species
GAUGAACGCUGGCGGCGUGCUUAACACAUGCAAGUCGAACGGGAUCCCAGGAGCUUGCUCCUGGGUGAGAGUGGCGAACGGGUGAGUAAUGCGUGACCGACCUGCCCCAUACACCGGAAUAGCUCCUGGAAACGGGUGGUAAUGCCGGAUGCUCCAACAUGACGCAUGUCGUGUCGGGAAAGAUUCUAUCGGUAUGGGAUGGGGGUCGCGUCCUAUCAGCUUGAUGGCGGGGUAACGGCCCCACCAUGGCUU